GACGUAGGAUGCAAGCGUUGUCCGGAAUUAUUGGGCGUAAAGAGUUCGUAGGCGGUUGCCUAAGUCUGAUGUUAAAUACUGGAGCUCAACUCCGGCAUGGCAUUGGAAACUGGGCGGCUAGAGUGUGGUAGAGGUCUCGGGAAUUCCAGGUGUAGCGGUGAAAUGCGUAGAUAUCUGGAGGAACACCGGUGGCGAAAGCGCGAGACUGAGCCAUAACUGACGCUGAGGAACGAAAGCCAGGGGAGCGAAAGGG
rnacentral:rRNA from 1 species